CCUCUGCUUGCAAGCUACCGGUUGAAGAUGGCUUCGCGUCCCAUUAGCUAGUUGGCGGUGUAAAAGACCACCAAGGCGACGAUGGGUAGCUGGUCUGAGAGGAUGGUCAGCCACACUGGGACUGAGAUACGGCCCAGACUCCUACGGGAGGCAGCAGUCGAGAGGCUUUGGCAAUGGGGGAAACCCUGACCAAGCGACGCCGCGUGGAGGAUGAAGGCCCUUGGGUCGUAAACUCCUUUUGUCGGGGAAGAAACGCGAUCAGGUGAACAAUCUGGUCGUUUGACGGUACCCGGCGAAUAAGCUCCGGCUAACUCCGUGCCAGCAGCCGCGGUAACACGGGGGGAGCAAGCGUUGUUNGGAAUUACUGGGCGUAAAGGGCGUGUAGGCGGUUAGGUAAGUGGGAUGUGAAAUCCCUCGGCUCACCCGAGGACCUGCAUCCCAAACUGCCAGACUUGAGUAUGGGAGAGGAUGAGGGAAUUCCUGGUGUAGCGGUGAAAUGCGUAGAUAUCAGGAGGAACACCGGUGGCGAAGGCGCUCAUCUGGCCCAAUACUGACGCUGAGGCGCGAAAGCUAGGGGAGCAAACGGGAUUAGAUACCCCGGUAGUCCUAGCCGUAAACGGUGAUCACUAGGUGUUGGAGGCAUCGACCCCUCCAGUGCCGUAGCUAACGCACUAAGUGAUCCGCCUGGGGAGUACGACCGCAAGGUUGAAACUCAAAGGAAUUGACGGGGGCUCACACAAGCGGUGG
rnacentral:rRNA from 1 species